rnacentral:misc_RNA from 1 species
AAUUGGGCAAUUAUGAGUGCAAUGUCAGUUAUCAAUCAAAUAAACACUUAGCAUUUAAAUUGAAAAGCGGUAACAUAUAGGCAGCUUAUAAAGCAAUAAAUAAAGAAAAGUCAACAUGUAAGUAAACAAAUAAGGGAAAAGAGACGAGGUAAAACAUGGUAAUAAACAAUUAAGGAAGAGGGAAGGGGUGAGACCUGGAAAAAAG